AUUAAUAGGAAAUAAGACCUGCCCAUUGAAUAAUUUUGAAUGGCCGCGGUACUUUGACCGUGCAAAGGUAGCAUAAUCAUUUGUCUUUUAAUUGGGGGCUGGAAUGAAAGGUUAAACGAAAAAUAAGCUGUUUCGGUUUAAUAAAUUGAAAUUCACUUUUAAGUGAGAAGGCUUAAAUAAUUUAAAGGGACGAUAAGACCCUAUAAAACUUUAUAGUAUUUUAUAUGUAUUGAUUUUGAUAGUUUAAUAUGAACUAUAGUAAGAUUGUUUUGUUGGGGCGACACCUAUAUAAAUAUAAAGUAACUGUAGGUUAAAAUAUAAUAAUGAUGGUUAGUGAAAUGAUCCUUUAGUAGUGAUUAUUAGAAAAAGUUACUUUAGGGAUAACAGCGUAAUUUCUUCGGAGAGUUCUUAUUGAUGAAGUUAGUUGCGACCUCGAUGUUGAAUUAAGAUUUCUUUUAAAUGUAGCAGUUUAAAAAGUUGGUCUGUUCGACCAUUAAAAUCUUACAUGAU
rnacentral:rRNA from 1 species